rnacentral:snRNA from 1 species
UCAGCUCUCUUUGCCUUUUGGCUUAGAUCCCGUGUAGUAAAAGUUCUUUUUAGUUUAAUCUCUAGAACGCCCCUACGGGGGUUUACUACUUUGCUUGUCUUUAGAACCGGAUCGGUAGCCGCUGAGCUUAGCUUAUGUCACUGGUCACAGUGUCGCCCGUAUUGCACUGUCUCGGGCUGAUGCGAACAACU